rnacentral:tRNA from 1 species
AGGCGUGUAGCUCAAUUGGUAGAGCAGCUGACUCCAAAUCAGCAGGUCGGGGGUUCGAGUCCCUCCACGCCUG